CGGACCGGUGACAGGUGCUGCAUGGCUGUCGUCAGCUCGUGUCGUGAGAUGUUGGAUUAAGUCCCGCAACGAGCGCAACCCUCGCCCUUAGUUGCCAUCAUUCAGUUGGGCACUCUAAGGGGACUGCCGGUGAUAAGCCGAGAGGAAGGUGGGGAUGACGUCAAGUCCUCAUGGCCCUUACGGCCUGGGCUACACACGUGCUACAAUGGUCGGUACAAAGGGUUGCCAAGCCGCGAGGUGGAGCUAAUCCCAUAAAACCGAUCGUAGUCCGGAUCGCAGUCUGCAACUCGACUGCGUGAAGUCGGAAUCGCUAGUAAUCGUGAAUCAGAAUGUCACGGUGAAUACGUUCCCGGGCCUU
rnacentral:rRNA from 1 species